UCGCAGGUGUUGGGCGGCCUUGGGGAAGCUUUUGGAGUCAAAGGGCCGCGUUCCAGUAGGGACUUUGCCAGAAUUCGUUUCGUUUAGCUAAAAGAAGACUUUUUUUGGGCGGGGGGAGGGGGGCUUCCUAUUCCUUCCUCGAGGCCGAAGCUGGUCUUCCCGCUUUCCCCGCUGUGCUUUGGCAUCAUAGGUUUCGGCUUAUCUUGGCAGCUUAUCAGAGUUCUAGCUGUGCCAUUCCACUCUCAAACCACGUGUCUCGAGUUAGGGCUCUGGGAAGAAAAAGCAACAAGACCUCAUCAUAGUUAUAUACUGUUCAUCGUAAUGCCCGCCUUCACGUCACCUUACUCCUCUAAGGGAGAAUGACAUCCUCUUCCCAGGUCCGUUGCUUUCCUCGAUUUCUUCCGUAUUGGAACUUAAACAAACAAUGAACACCGUGGCUUUUUCUGUUUUCCGGAUCGUUUAGAAAAACAGAUAGGAAUUCUGUACGCAAGUGUCUGGCACUGAGCCUGGCAUAGAUACAAGGGACUUAUCUGGGUGCAAAUGGGUCUUUAUUUCAGUAUAUUACUGAAUUUCAUUAGCCUUCCUCCUUUGGUAAAAAUGUACUAUGGUGGGACCAGAAAUACAAAUGAGAUGUGUUUCCUGCUUCAGAUUUACAGAGAGAAACAAAGUAUGUAUCUUUUAAGAUUUUGUUUAUUUAUGCAUGAGACAGAGACAGAGAGAGGCAGAGACACAGGCAGAGGGAGAAGCAGGCUCCAUGCAGGGAGCCCCAUGUGGGACUCGAUCCCGGGUCUCCAGGGUCACACCCUGGGCUGAAGGCAGAGGCUCAACCACUGAGCCAGCUGGGUGUCCCAACGAAAGCAUAUCUACAAACAUUGUAAUAAAUGCUGAAUCAAGAUGGUUUCUGAGUGAUAUAUGCCCGCUGUGUAUAAAUAGACUUAACUAGUUUUAACAUUCUUUUUCUUUUUUUUAGAUUUUGUUUAUUUAUUCAUGAGAGACACACACAGAGAAAGAGAGAGAGAGAGAGAGAGCGGCAGAGACACAGAGAGAAAGAGGCAGAGACACAGGUAGAGGGAGAAGCAGGCUCCAUGCAGGGAGUCCAACGUGGGACCAGGAUCACACCUUGGGCUGAAGGCGGCGCCAAACCACUGGGCCGCCGAGGCUACCCUCAGCUAUGAAUUUAAAUUCAGGAUUUUUUGAGAACAGCUGCACCAUCUCAUAUUUUCACCAACCGUGCACAAAGGGUCCCAAUUUCUCCACAUCUUUGCUGUCUUCUGUUUUUUGUGAGUCACACACAGAGAGAGAGAGAGGCAGAGACACAGGCAGAGGGAGAAGCAGGCUCCAUGCACCGGGAGCCCGACGUGGGAUUCGAUCCGGGGUCUCCAGAAUCGCGCCCUGGGCCAAAGGCAGGCGCCAAACCGCUGCGCCACCCAGGGAUCCCUAAAAUUUCUUUUCAUUAUAUAUAGCUUGAACCUUUAAGCAUGGUGUUCAGCCAGAGGUCUUCAGUGUGCCCAAGCAGAUCAACCUUUCAAGUCCCCCAGGAUGCAGAAAUAAAGUACUGGCAGAACCUGAACUAGAGCUAGAAGGAUGGAGGGAGGCACAUAUGCAAAGUAUAAAGUUGUGCUUGGUCCCCUCAUCUUAUCAUGAAUGCAUCCUGGCCCCACAUUUGGAAUGCCUCGAAAAUCUGAGAAGAAAGAAACUUCAUGUUAAAUGCGACUGAUGAAUUGUUGAACUCUACCUCUGAAACUAAUGAUGUUCUACAUGUUGGCUAAUUGAAUUUAAAUUUAAAAAAAUUAAAGUAUAAAAAAAGAAAAAGUUACAAACCUAAAGAACAAACAAAAAACAGCCACAGGUUAAAAGAGACAACUGUGACAGCUGGGGGUUAAUCUGUCUUAUGUGUGAACUCUCUAGAAAUGUCUAGGCAUGAGAAGCAGAAUGGACUUCUUAACUGCCUGGGACAAAAAGAAGAUUGGCAGUAGGACAUAGAUGUAUUAAACAUAGGAGAGAUGGAUAUGGACAAGGAUAUUUAAGUGGCAGUGCCAUAAUAGGAAAAGGAGCAUAUUUUAUCUAAGAAAAUUGUAUUUCCUCCAGUGCUACUAAUGUCUUUGAACUUAUCUAAGAACUAUGUGGAAAAAUGAAAACCUCAGAAAAUACUAAAUUUCUUUCUAGCAAAGUCAGAGGGCAUUGGAGCAUUGAGAUUUUAGAAUUAUCAUAAACAGUGACACAAUUGCCUUCCCCAUUUCCCAAGAAGUAUUGGCUACAGUUGUACUACAAAUUAUUGAAACCAAUCAUGUAUUAUUAGAAUAUUUAACUUUUUCCUAGUAUGUUACUCUUAAGACUAUUAUGCUGAACAAACCUAUACAAUGUUCUUUGACAACACCUUUAACACUUUCUAAGGAUAGGACUCAGAAUAGCCAAAACAAUCAGAAAAAAGAACAAAGUUAAAGAAUCUGCCCUUCCUAAUUUCAAACCUUACGGUAAACUUCAGUAAUCAAGGCAGUGUGGUACUGGCAAAGGAUGGAUAUACAGACCAAGGGAAUAGAAUUUAGAGUCCAAAAAUAAACCCUUAUAAUUAUGGUCAGUUGAUUUUCAACAAGGGCACUGAAACGAUUCAGUGGGAAAGAAUAGUCUUUCAAUGAAUGGUGCUGGGACAAUUGGCUCUCCACAUACAAAACAAUGAAGUUGGAUGUCCUGCCUCGUACCAUAUACAAAAAUUAACUCAAAGUCAAUCAAAAACAUAAGUAUAAGAACUAAUAACUAUAAACCUCUCAGAAGAAAACAAAGGAGUAAAUCUUUGUCUUAGAUAUGACAAUGAAAGCAUAAACAACAAUGGAUAAAUUAAACAUCACCAAAAUUAAAAUCUUUCACACUUCAUAGGACGUCAUUAAUAAAGUGGAAAGAUAAUCCACAGAAUGGAAGAAAAUAUUGCAAAUAUCUGAUAAGGAAAUUGUAACCAUAAUAUAUAUGGAAUUCUUACAAUUUCACAAUAAAAUGGCAAAGUAAUAUUAUUUGAGCAAAGGUGAGCAAAGGAUUUGAAUAGACAUCUAUUCAAAGAAGAUAUACAAAUGACUAAUUAGUCCAUGAGAAGAUAUUUUUUUCUUUUAAAGAUUUUAUUUAUUUGAGAGAGAGAGAGCAUGAGAGAGAAAUCAUGAGCAGGGGGAAGGGCUGAGGGAGAAGCAGACUCCCCACUGAGCUGGCAGCCCCAUGCAUGAUUUGAUGCUGGGAUUGUGACCUGAGCUGAAGGCAGAUGCUUAACCGACUGAGCCACACAGAUGCCCCCAUGAGAGGAUGCGAAACAUCGUUUGUCAUAAGAGAAACCCAAAUCAUAGCCACAAGAUACCACUUCACACCCAUUAGGAUGGUUAUUAUUAAAAAGAUGAACAGUAUCAACUAGUAAGUGUUUCUGAGGAUAUGGAGAAAUUGGAUCCCUCGUGCAUUGCUUGUGGGAUUGUAAAAUGUUGCAGCUGCUUUGAAAAACAGUUUGGCGACCUCUCAAAGUGUUAAACAUAGAGUUAUUAUAUGACCCAGAAUUUGACUGCUAGCUAUAUAUCCAAGAAAAAUGGAAAGAUCCAGCCAAAACCUUAUACAUGAAUGUUCAUAGCAACAUUAUUCCUAAUAGCCAAAAAGUGAAAACAACCUAAUGGCCAUUAAUGGACAAAUGGAUAAAAGCACUGUGGUAUAGACAUACAAUGAACUAUUACUCCACCAUAAAAAAGCAUGAAGAACUGAUACGUUCUACAACAUGGAUGCACUUUGAUAACCUUAUGUGGAAUGAAAAAAGUCAGAAACAAAAAGCCACAUAUCUUAUUAUUCCAUUCAUGCUAAUUGUUCAGGAUAAGCAAAUUCACAAAGACAGAAAGUAGACUAGUGGUUGCCAGGUACUGGGGGGAUGGUAGAAGGGAUACAGUUUACUUUUGAUGAUAUUUGUUUUGAAAUUGGAUAGUGGUGAUGGUUGUGCCACUCUAAAUACACUAAUGACCACUGGAUUAUAUACUCUAAAAGAAUGAAUUUAUUAUUUACUCUGUUUUUAAAUUAAGACUCUAAGAAUAAAUUCUUUACAAUGAGAAGUUAUUUUUCAUUUCCCUGAAGCCUUGGGAUCCCGGGGAAGAAGGCAAACAGCAAGUUUGAAGGAAGAAAGAAAGGAAGAGCUAAUAAUAAAUUUGGGAGAAAGGGUAGUCUCUACAGUUUUCUCUUUCCUCUAAGGAAUCUCACUGUGUUCCUUGGGAUUAUCAUGACCACUACAUUGGAAGCCUAUGAGAUGAGGUUUUGACAUUGGCUGGAAGGUACUGUUACACUGGUUGAGGAUGACUAUGGUAUAGGUCAUAUGUCUGAGUGAAAGAGUUGGUAAAUAUGGAAGGAGAACAAGGGGCUAGAGAGGAAAGCUUGUUGAUGGUAAGGUGACCAGUUACUUUGUUUUGUCUGAGACCGUCCUGUUUUAGCACUCAAAGCUGCACACUCCAGGGAAACCCUCAGCCUCAGGCAAACCAGGAUGGUAGGUUAUCUAGUUGGAAGCAACAUGACAAGGACACUGAUGGGCUAUUAUUUACUGAAGGCCUACCAUGACACAGGCAUUAUGCUAAGAUCCCUUUAUGCAUUAUCUUUUUCAAUUCUCACAGUCAGCUUCUCAGGUAAUUACUGAGGUUAAGUUAUCUGUCCUAGGUCAAAUAGAAGAGCCAAGGGGCACCUGGGUGGCUCAGUGGUUGAGGAUCUGCCUUUGGCUCAGGGCAUGAUCCUGGGCUCCUGGGAUCCAGUGCUGCAUCAGGCUCCCUGCAGGGAGCCUGCUUCUCCCUCUACCUAUGUCUCUGCCUCUCUCUGUGUAUCUCUCAUGAAUAAAUAAAAUCUUUUUUAAAAAAAUGGAAGAGCUAAAAUUUCAAUCCCAGUCCAUAGAGUCAGAGUCUUUAGUCUUAACCACCCCCACUCAACUGAAAGAUUGAGCCAAUAAAGUGAAAAAAUUGAAAAACAAAUUAUCUAUAAAGAGUGCUUUAAGUUUAAAAAUGCUUUUUAUACCCAUGGUCACAUUCCUCCCCUCUAGGAACCCAUUCGUUCAUCUGUGCAUUCAUUCAACAAGUCCUUAUGGCACUUACUUGGCACCAAACUCUGUGUUAAGUGCUGAGAAUAAGUCACAAACCUCUCUGUGGAGCUUAUGUUUGGUGAUAGGCCAAAAAUAAGAAACAAAAAUAUCUGGGAGUUAUGGUAAGAAUUAUGAAGGAAACAGAAGCACACAGAAACUAUCAGAGGUAAGUUGGUUUAAGGCAGGAUGGCCAGGGAAAAGAAUCUGUAAGGGAGAAGGAUUUAGGCUGAAGCCCAAAUAAUGAGGAAGAACUAGUCCCAUGAAAAUCCAGGGAAAACACUCAUACGAGAGGACGAUUUGCCCAAAGGUCCUGAAACAGAAAUGAGCUUCUUAUGUUUGAAGAUACCAGGAAAGAAGAGUCAGUGUUGUCAUAGCAUAUGUAGCAAGUAAAGCAGGAAAUCUUAUCUUUGACUUGUAGAUGAGAACUUGAGGUAGGGUUAUGAGACUUCCCAGUAUCACUUAACUAUGGGUCAGGCCUCAACCCAAGGUCUUCUGAGUACUGAGAGUUGUUGCUUUCAUCUUAUCUUGAAAAAGGGGAUUUUUCUUAUGGCUAUGAUUUUCAAACAUUAUAGGAACAGAAACCUUUUUUACAUAUAAUCUCAUAUUAAAGCCUAAUGUUUGAAACAGAUAAAACCUGACUCCUCUCCUGGGGCUGGAGGUAGGGCUCAGGAUCCCGGCUGUUCAAGUCCUUGGUACCCCUAACCCCUUUAGGUUCAGCUGCUGAACUGAAACCCUAGCGAGUUUUUAGUUCACAGAAUCACAUCUUGAAUCACAUCUUCACAUACAUUUGCCAAAAUGUAUAGAAGGGUUUUGUUUUUGUAUCUUUAAUUUUCAUUCCAGUGUAGUUAUAUUAGUUUCAGGUAUACAAUCUAGUGAUUCAAUACUCCCAUGGAUUUUAAUUUAGCUGCAUAUUAGCUUCUAAAAAGAAGUUUCUGUUUGGGGUUUGGUUUUUUCACUUACAUGUUAGCGAAGCAGUACACGCAGGAAUUAGAAUAUGUAACAUUAUUAGAAGCGCAUAAUGGGCUGACUCUUAUGGAGCAUGUAUGUUUCCGUUGUGUAAACGUCUUUUGAUAAUAACUGCAUUGAAUGUCCUAAAACGAAACUCACAGGUAAAACUCUCAAUCUUAUAAUGAUUGGCUUAAUGGCUUCUAAUAUAAGUUCCUGGGAGUUUUAUUUUAUGCAGACGAAGAUAAUGAUAAAAUACAUCUUCCUUCACACUUUAAACAUCAAACUUCCUUAUCUUAAAUUCAGCAGCCAAAGCCUUUGGGAUUUCCACUUUGAAAGGCAGCUGAAGCUAUAUAGUCCUAUACUUUGGCUCUAUGAUAUGUAUCUGUAACUUGUUAGAAAGGAAAGAGAACAUUCAGGGAAGUGACAAAAAUGCCUACAACUAUUGUCCAAGUGCUUCUGGAAUCAUUUUAGUUCAUCAAAACCCCCUUUCACUGUGGCGCUCAGAUCAGAAUACCCUGCAUGGUCCCACUCUGCUAUUGGCUAUAUUCCAGUCCUGAGGAUUAGGAGGCUGGAGUAAUGAGAAAAGAUUAUUUUCUCAUUUUGUUUUUCUUCCUUCAUAGUCCCAGAGUUGGUGUAAGCUGGAUUUAGAGGACUUGACUGACAGAGUAGAAGAAGGGCUAGUCUAUAGGUAGAAGGAGGGCUUGGAAAGUUCAUGAGCACUAUGUGAUGAACAGAUAAGUCAGCUGCCACAAAUUUCUCCUUCAUUGGCUCAAAUCACAGUAUAUUCAGAUAUCCAUAGAUCAGGGUACUUCCCCGUCUAUGAAACUUAAAAGGCUCUCAUUACUGAAAGCAAUGUUGGCCAACUUCUGUCAUUGGUUCAUAAUUCCUUCCAAAUUCAUAUGCCAUUUUUCUUUAAAAAUAUUUUUUGUUGAUUGGGCUUCUUUUUUAAACUUGACUAUUCACCCUAGAAAUGUCCUGAAUAUGAAUAUCCAUGAUAU